AUGUUAUCUGCACAACAAUAGUACAAAUUAGAGCAAAUCUGCAGAUCACAGCUGGUUAUUAACACACUGCUUAUACAAAGUAUACUUCUUUCAAAUUCAGAUGCUGUAAUUGACUGCAAAUGAAAAGCUUUUCAUUGUUAUCUUUCAAGUCAAUACUUGCUUCACUAAAAGUGUCAGUAGAACCUUGGCAGAAAAUUAUACUUCAAUAAGUCUAUUUGAUUUGACUUACUGAAAAAUGCAUAUUUGAAGAAUACUGAUGCACUGUGGGAUAUUCAGUAGCUAAAAUAGAUAUGCCUGCUCUUGUGUAUUAUCUUCAAAUCAGUUACACAUUUCUAAUGCAGACUGGUUAUAGAUGGCUUUUAUUCACAGUUAGGAAACAGGAUGGUAGGACACACUUUUACAGAAGUGUCAAAGAAUGGUGCCUACAUUCCCCUUAAAAAGUAGUCACACCUUUAAGAUAUCUGGGGACAAUGUGUUUCAGUUGCUAUACUCCUUCAUAUUAAUUAAACUGUCAUGGACUAAUCACCUAAUAUCAUUGCUGCUUAAGCAGAAAGGUUUCUUGUAGGCGUGCUUGCUUUUCUUAGGAUUAGCAAGAAGAUCAAGGAAGAAACACGUGCAAGAGAACAGAGAGCAACCAAGCCUGUAAUGCAGGCUGUAAGUUAUAUGAAGUUCUACAUGGAGGAAAUACAAAAAUCAACAAUACAGUUUGGAAAACUAGCUCAGUGAGUCAUCGUGAAGCAAAAGGACUGUAUUUGCUAUCAUGGAAAGGCAAUAUGGUACACAUAAA